rnacentral:rRNA from 1 species
UGUAGGCUGCAACCCGCCUGCAUGAAGUUGGAAUUGCUAGUAAUCGCGGAUCAGCAUGCCGCGGUGAAUACGUUCCCGGGGAUUGUACACACCGCCCCGUCACACCAUGAGAGUCGGGAACACCCAAAGUCCGUAGUCUAACCGCAAGGAGGGCGCGGCCUAAGGUGGGUUCGAUAAUUGGGGUGAAGUCGUAACAAGGUAAC